rnacentral:lncRNA from 1 species
GGAAGUUGGGUGUGGCAGGCACUGUGUUGACAUAUCCAGUAUAGGAGUGCCCUGGGAGCCCAUCUCUCAUUUCUGAAAGAGAUAGCAUUGUAGAUCUGGACGUUUCAUCACAUAUUCCCAGGAAGGCCCAGCCAAAUGCAGCUGGUAAGUUGCUGAAUGUGGAAUUCCUCUUGGCCUUCCAACUCCUUGCACUCUUCCUUCUGGGACUACUUUGGUUUUUCAGUUUAUUACCUGUUUGGAGUUGGCUUGUUUCUGGACUCUCUCUUCUGCUCAGGUGAGCAGACUUCUAACUGGAAUACCUGGCUCUUGGACAAGGCACUGUGCCAGACAUUGGGCUAGGUGCUGGGAAUUGAAAUAAUAAACUAUUUCCUGAUUUCUCUUCUCUCUUCUGGAGAAAGAAUUGGAUUAGAACAAGAUGAUACGCUGAGAACCAAAUCUACCCUGUCAGCUUACUCUUCAAGAACAAGCCAAGCAACUGAAAACUGAGUCCACGCUCAGCUAAGUCAAAGCCCAGGGGAUUACUGGCAUCACCACCCACCCCACCUGGAGCAUGACAAUGUCUGUGAGAGAAUAAGAGAUGGGUGGUGUCACCACUAUCUUUCUCUUUCUGUUCUCCAAAUUAUAAUAAUAACAGUCUCUUUUCCUCCUCUAAACAUUUUUUAUAAAGGAGGUUGAACUCAGUUAAAAUAUCUUGAAAUUACUGUGGCUGGUUUACAAGCCACUCUGGAAAGUUAUGCUCUGGCAUAAAUUUAGCAGCUAUGUUUUACUGUAAAAAGAAACCCAGGGACAUAGCUUAUUAAGAAAAUGUGGUCAAAGUGAGAAUUUUCUUUGGUUUUAUGAAUAAAUAUAGAUAUUAUAUUACAAAAUUAGAUUUAUAUCGUUGAGCUUGAUACUAGACAGUAAAUAUUAUUUCUUAGGAAAAGGUUAAUACCUCAUUAAAUUUUAAAAGUUGAACACAAAAUCUCUAACAAAUUAAAUUUAAAUAUUUCCAUUUCAAUAUCAUUGCAGACAGUUCAUGGUAGUGAAGUACAUUGAGAAAACUUGUUCUUUAAGAAAACAAACUUCUGGGUAAAAGAUAGUAAUAUAUCAGCAAAAAAAGAUUUUUAUCAAGAGGGUUGAAGGCUAUAGCAUCAUCAAGAUAAAGAUCAAAUAGCAUGGAGGCUAAAAUAAACCUGUGCUUUUUUGAGCGGGUGGUCAAUAGAAAUUGGCUCUGUUGCUGGAGAUCCUGAAUUUUAAAUUCUGGUGAUCAGGCCAGUAAUGUGCUGAUGAAGCAGAAAUGUCACAGCAUAUUUUACCAAGUCAAAGACAGGCAACAGUUAUGAGAGGGACAUGGAGAACCUGGUAGAGCUCUGUGUACUAUGCUGAAUUAAUAAAUAGAGAACUAACUUAAGGUGGACAAAACUGCUGGGUGUCUCUCAGGCUUCUAAUGUCUUCAAAAUGUAUUUGAAAACUUAAAGCCUUAUAAUAAUAAGAAGAAGACUAGUCCAAGUUCUGUUUAUUUCCUUUUAAAAGGAGUCAACACUUGAGGAGACAAUUCUGUACUCCCACAACAGGAAAAAUGCAUCCUUUUACCGUGUGAAUAAUUGAACCAGAGUCAUUGCCCACUCUUCAGGAAAUAGCUCAUGUAAACUUUUGGCCGACCUGUGCUUCACAGUGCACUUACCACUUGACAUCCACCUCUGUAAACUUUUAUUUGUAUUACCAAAUAUUGACUGCAAACAAAAAAAAAAAGGAAGAAAAAGGAACCUCCCUUAUACAAUUACAGAACGUUAGAGCAAAAGAGAACUGAAAGAUGAUCUUGUGCAGGCCACCAUUUUAUAGAUGAAGAAACAAAAGCACAGAGUGACUUGCUAAUGCUUCACCAAGCUGGCACAGCCUGGCCUAGAGCUACAUUCCCCUGUGUCCCAGACCCACAUGCCAGCACCAACAUCAUGGAUCCUCUCUCUCUCUCUCUUUUGAGACAGAGUCUCACUCUGUUGCCCAGGCUGGAGUGUAGUGGUGCAAUCUUGGCUUACUGCAGUCUCUGCCUCCUGGGUUCAAGAGAUUCUCCCGCCUCAGCUUCUUCAGUAGCUGGGACUACAGGCAUACUGCCACCAUAGCCUGCUAAUUUUUUUGUAUUUUUAGUAGAGACGGGAUUUCACCAUGUUGGCCAGGCUGAAGAUCCUCUCUCUUAUUGCUUGAUGAAAAAAUGUAUUAGGCACUGGGAGGAUAGAAAUUAAAGAGCCCCAAUACUUGACAUCUAGGAGCUCACAACCCAAUAAGAAAAGUACACAUGUAGACCACCCUCCAAUAUUUUACUGUACUCUGUACACUGUUGCUAGAAUGAUCUUUCUGAAAAUACAAAUUGUAAUGUAUCUAACCCUGUGUAAAACCAUGCAGUGGCUCCUUGUUCCCUAUAAGGUAAAGCUUUCUCCUUUUUCUCCAGCCUUCUGUCUAACUGGGUCUAUGCUGAUGCUCAGGAUCCAGCCAUAGAGAACCAAUUGCUUUUCCCUAAAUAUAGCAGGCUUUUCCCUAAAUAUAGCAGGCCCUUUCAUCCUGCCAGGCCUUUGUUAUGCUGUUCUCUGCCUGGAAUGACCUCCUCUCAUUACCCUCCAGGAGGGUUAUCUCUCUUGUAAUAGAUUUCCUUAGGUUUCUCUCCUUCCACCUCCAACCCCACAGACAGAAUUAACCAUUCCUUCCUUUGUUUAUUUGUCCUGCCCAUAUUUCUCCUACAGCACCUAUAGUGCUUUGUAACAUUGAUUUUUUUUUUUUUUUGAGA